GUAAUGCCUAGGAAUCUGCCUAGUAGUGGGGGAUAACUUGCCGAAAGGUAAGCUAAUACCGCAUACGUCCUACGGGAGAAAGGAGGGGACUCUUCGGAGCCUUUCGCUAUUAGAUGAGCCUAGGUCGGAUUAGUUAGUUGGUGAGGUAAUGGCUCACCAAGACCGCGAUCCGUAACUGGUCUGAGAGGAUGAUCAGUCACACUGGAACUGAGACACGGUCCAGACUCCUACGGGAGGCAGCAGUGGGGAAUAUUGGACAAUGGGGGAAACCCUGAUCCAGCCAUGCCGCGUGUGUGAAGAAGGUCUUAGGAUUGUAAAGCACUUUAAGUUGGGAGGAAGAGCAGUUAACUAAUAUUUGACUGUUUUGACGUUACCGACAGAAUAAGCACCGGCUAACUUCGUGCCAGCAGCCGCGGUAAUACGAAGGGUGCAAGCGUUAAUCGGAAUUACUGGGCGUAAAGCGCGCGUAGGUGGUUCGUUAAGUUAGGAGUGAAAGCCCCGGGCUCAACCUGGGAAUUGCUUCUAAAACUGGCGAGCUAGAGUAUGGUAGAGGGUGGUGGAAUUUCCUGUGUAGCGGUGAAAUGCGUAGAUAUAGGAGGGAACAUCAGUGGCGAAGGCGACCACCUGGACUAAUACUGACACUGAGGUGCGAAAGCGUGGGGAGCAAACAGGAUUACAUACCCUGGUAGUCCACGCCGUAAACGAUGUCAACUAGUUGUUGGGUUCCUUGAGGACUUAGUAACGCAACUCACGCAUUAAGUUGACCGCCUGGGGAGUACGGCCGCAAGGUUAAAACUCAAAUGAAUUGACGGGGGCCCGCACAAGCGGUGGAACAUGUGGUUUA
rnacentral:rRNA from 2 species